UGGGGGAUAUUGCACAAUGGGCGAAAGCCUGAUGCAGCGACGCCGCGUGGGGGAUGAAGGCUUUCGGGUUGUAAACCUCUUUCGCUAUCGAACAAGGCCCGCUUAGGGUGGGUUGAGGGUAGGUGGAGAAGAAGCGCCGGCUAACUACGUGCCAGCAGCCGCGGUAAUACGUAGGGCGCGAGCGUUGUCCGGAAUUAUUGGGCGUAAAGGGCUUGUAGGCGGCUUGUUGCGCCUGCUGUGAAAACGCGGGGCUUAACUUCGCGCGUGCAGUGGGUACGGGCAGGCUUGAGUGUGGUAGGGGUGACUGGAAUUCCAGGUGUAGCGGUGGAAUGCGCAGAUAUCUGGAGGAACACCGAUGGCGAAGGCAGGUCACUCGGCCAUUACUGACGCUGAGGAGCGAAAGCAUGGGUAGCGAACAGG
rnacentral:rRNA from 1 species